UUCACUUCUUGGCCCUUUGGCUAAGAUCAAGUGUAAUAUCUGUUCUUAUCAGUUUAUUUUCUGGUAUGUCCUCAAUUUGAGGAUGAUGUAAUAAUUGGAUUUUGGGGACUGGGUAUUGCAGGGCUUCCACCUUUCCCCCAGAGGGAAUAUUUUUUCCAGUGCUUAGUAUGGUGCCUGCCACAUAGU